rnacentral:rRNA from 1 species
GACGAACGCUGGCGGCGUGCUUAACACAUGCAAGUCGAACGGAAAGGCCCUGCUCUUGUGGGGUGCGCGAGUGGCGAACGGGUGAGUAACACGUGAGUAACCUGUCCUUGACUUUGGGAUAACUCCAGGAAACUGGGGCUAAUAUCGGAUAGGAGCACCUGCUGCACGGUGGGGGUUGGAGAGAUUCGGCGGUUGGGGACGGACUCGCGGCUUAUCAGCUUGUUGGUGGGGUAGUGGCUUACCAAGGCUUUGACGGGUAGCCGGCCUGAGAGGGUGACCGGCCACAUUGGGACUGAGAUACGGCCCAGACUCCUACGGGAGGCAGCAGUGGGGAAUAUUGCACAAUGGGCGGAAGCCUGAUGCAGCAACGCCGCGUGCGGGAUGACGGCCUUCGGGUUGUAAACCGCUUUCGCCUGUGACGAAGCGUGAGUGACGGUAAUGGGUAAAGAAGCACCGGCUAACUACGUG